AACAACCAGAGUGUGUGAAUAAAUUCAGACUCCAAAGAUGAAACAGGGCCUGGGUCAUGCCCCACUGUUCGGCACGACAAGACAUGAGGAAGUUCUUGUGGAAAGCGCACUGGAAUUCCUGAGCUCCAGCUGGUUUCUAUACCAGCAUUUCUAACCUUGACACUAUGGAAUUUCAAGCCAGACAAUUCUUUGUUGUGGGAGGCCAUUCUGAGCAUUGUAGACUUCCUAGUCUGUACCGCCGAAUGCUAGCGGCAGCCUUUCUUCUCCAAGCUGCGACAAUCAAAAAUGUCUGCAGACAUUGCCAAAUGGCCCCUGGGAGGCAAAGCUACCCUUUGGUUGACAGCUGCUGAUCUAUACAACAGUAAGUGCGGCUGUCACCCACUGCUCAGGUCCAGGAGGGCAGCUCUCCCAGGGAGGCCAAGGGUCUGGGAAGGUGAGUACACACAGAAGUCGGAAGUAAAGAGCCACCAGCAAAGGUGACCCACCUGGACACCUUCACCACAGCAGCACUGGGCUCUCCCGCGCUGUGCUGUGAUGCUGCAACCCAGGCCUCAUGUGUCUCCCUGGGCCUGCCUCAAUGCGGGCUGCCUGUGGCCUGUCCCCUUGCCUUCUCCAGAUAAAAAGUCAUUCUGUUCCUGGAGCUUUUGUGGCGUCUCAUUUAAUCUCCAUAACAAUAAAUUCAUUCAUUCAUUCA
rnacentral:lncRNA from 1 species